rnacentral:rRNA from 1 species
GGUAAUUUGACCGUGCAAAGGUAGCAUAAUCAAUAGUCUUUUAAUUGGAGGCUUGAAUGAAAGGUUUGACGGAGGAGAAGCUGUCUUUUUAUUAGAAUUGAAUUUAACUUUUGUGUAAGAAGGCAUUAAUGAUUUAAAGGGACGAUAAGACCCUAUAAAACUUUAUAUAUUAUAUUUAUUUAAUAAAAUAGUUAAUUAAUUAUUGGUGGUUAAUUAUAUUUUGCUGGGGUGGCAGGAAUAUAAUUCUAACUGUUUUAAAUGUAAAAUAUUUAUUAAUAGAGAGUGGUCCUUUGUUUGAGAGUUGAGAGUAAGUUACUUUAGGGAUAACAGCAUAAUUUCUUUUGAGAGUUCUUAUCGAAGAUGGUAGUUGUGACCUCGAUGUUGAAUUAAAUUUUUCUUUUAAUGUAGGAGUUU